GAUGAACGCUGGCGGCGUGCCUAUACAUGCAAGUAGAACGCUGAAGCUUGGUGCUUGCACCGAGCGGAUGAGUUGCGAACGGGUGAGUAACGCGUAGGUAACCUGCCUCUUAGCGGGGGAUAACUAUUGGAAACGAUAGCUAAUACCGCAUAAAAGUCGAUAUCGCAUGAUAUUGAUUUGAAAGGUGCAAUUGCAUCACUAAGAGAUGGACCUGCGUUGUAUUAGCUAGUUGGUGAGGUAACGGCUCACCAAGGCGACGAUACAUAGCCGACCUGAGAGGGUGAUCGGCCACACUGGGACUGAGACACGGCCCAGACUCCUACGGGAGGCAGCAGUAGGGAAUCUUCGGCAAUGGGGGCAACCCUGACCGAGCAACGCCGCGUGAGUGAAGAAGGUUUUCGGAUCGUAAAGCUCUGUUGUAAGAGAAGAACGAGUGUGAGAGUGGAAAGUUCACACUGUGACGGUAACUUACCAGAAAGGGACGGCUAACUACGUGCCAGCAGCCGCGGUAAUACGUAGGUCCCGAGCGUUAUCCGGAUUUAUUGGGCGUAAAGCGAGCGCAGGCGGUUAGAUAAGUCUGAAGUUAAAGGCUGUGGCUUAACCAUAGUACGCUUUGGAAACUGUUUAACUUGAGUGCAGAAGGGGAGAGUGGAAUUCCAUGUGUAGCGGUGAAAUGCGUAGAUAUAUGGAGGAACACCGGUGGCGAAAGCGGCUCUCUGGCCUGUAACUGACGCUGAGGCUCGAAAGCGUGGGGAGCAAACAGG
rnacentral:rRNA from 1 species